rnacentral:rRNA from 1 species
UGCAGUCGCAGCUAUAAUGCAGUCGAGCGGCUUAAGUUUUCUUCGGAUACUUAGGUAGCGGCGGACGGGUGAGUAACACGUAGGCAACCUGCCUGUAAGAUCGGGAUAACCCACGGAAACGUGAGCUAAUACCGAAUAAGUAAUCCUCUCGCAUGAGGGGGUUAAGAAGGACGGAGCAAUCUGUCACUUACAGAUGGGCCUGCGGCGCAUUAGCUAGUAGGUGAGGUAAUGGCUCACCUAGGCGACGAUGCGUAGCCGACCUGAUAGGGUGAACGGCCACACUGGGACUGACACACGGCCCAGACUCCUACGGGAGGCAGCAGUAGGGAAUCUUCCGCAAUGGACGAAAGUCUGACGGAGCAACGCCGCGUGAGUGAUGAAGGUUUUCGGAUCGUAAAGCUCUGUUGCCAGGGAAGAACGCUUAGGAGAGUAACUGCUCUUAAGGUGACGGUACCUGAGAAGAAAGCCCCGGCUAACUACGUGCCAGCAGCCGCGGUAAUACGUAGGGGGCAAGCGUUGUCCGGAAUUAUUGGGCGUAAAGCGCGCGCAGGCGGUCUAUUAAGUCUGGUGUUUAAGCCCAUGGCUCAACCCUGGUUCGCACUGGAAACUGGCAUACUAGAGUGUAGAGAGAGGAAAGUGGAAUUCCACGUGUAGCGGCGAAAUGCGUAGAGAUGUGGAGGAACACCAGUGGCGAACGCGACUUUCUGGCCUAUAACUGACGCUGAUGCGCGAAAGCGUGGGGAGCAAACAUGAUUAGAUACCCUGGUAGUCCACGCCGUAAACGAUGAGUGCUAGUGUUAGGGGUUUCAGUACCCUUGGUUGCCGAACUAAACACAGUAAGCACUCCGCCUGGGGAGUACGGUCGCGAGACUGAAACUCAAAGGAAUUGACGGGGACACUCACAAGCGAUGGAGUAUGUGGUUUGAUUCCGAUGCACACUACGAACCUUACCAGGUCAUUGACAUCUGAGCUGAAAACAUCUCAGAGAUAGUCGUCCUUC